rnacentral:rRNA from 1 species
UACAGAGGUCCCAAGCGUUGUUCGGAUUCAUUGGGCGUAAAGGGUGCGUAGGCGGCGCGGUAAGUCGGGUGUGAAAUCUCGGAGCUUAACUCCGAAACUGCAUUCGAUACUGCCGUGCUUGAGGACUGGAGAGGAGACUGGAAUUUACGGUGUAGCGGUGAAAUGCGUAGAUAUCGUAAGGAAGACCGGUGGCGAAGGCGGGUCUCUGGACAGUUCCUGACGCUGAGGCACGAAGGUCAGGGGAGCAAACGGG